GACGAACGCUGGCGGCGUGCUAAACACAUGCAAGUCGAACGGAAAGGCCCUGCUUUUGUGGGGUGCUCGAGUGGCGAACGGGUGAGUAACCCGUGAGUAACCUGCCCUUGACUUUGGGAUAACUUCAGGAAACUGGGGCUAAUGCCGGAUAGGAGCUCCUGCUGCAUGGUGGGGGUUGGAAAGUUUCGGCGGUUGGGGAUGGACUCGCGGCUUAUCAGCUUGUUGGUGGGGUAGUGGCUUACCAAGGCUUUGACGGGUAGCCGGCCUGAGAGGGUGACCGGCCACAUUGGGACUGAGAUACGGCCCAGACUCCUACGGGAGGCAGCAGUGGGGAAUAUUGCACAAUGGGCGGAAGCCUGAUGCAGCAACGCCGCGUGCGGGAUGACGGCCUUCGGGUUGUAAACCGCUUUCGCCUGUGACGAAGCGUGAGUGACGGUAAUGGGUAAAGAAGCACCGGCUAACUACGUG
rnacentral:rRNA from 1 species